CAGGGAGACAACAAAAUGUUUAAUAUUAUUAUUUUGUCACCUUAGGUCGAUCGGUAUCUCACGUUCUUAAUUCAUUAAGAAUUUCAUUUUCUAAGUUUUUCUAGGUCACACCCAUUAUUUUUCCUGGGCCAUUAGCUCAGGUGGUUAGAGCGCACCCCUGAUAAGGGUGAGGUCCCUGGUUCAAGUCCAGGAUGGCCCAUAUCUCUAUGUUGGGGGUAUAGCUCAGUUGGUAGAGCGCCUGCUUUGCAAGCAGGAUGUCAGCGGUUCGAGUCCGCUUACCUCCACUGAUUACCACCUCUUUCAUAAUCUGUAGAAAGGAAAUGUUUUGAGUUGUGAUCAAAUUCUGAACGAAUCUAGCUUCCUAAUGAAAUCAUUAAGAUGCUGGACUCAUUGAAUUAAUUUCAUUGUUUUCAGAGAACCUUGACAACUGCAUAGAUUAUUUUUAAAGACAAUAAGCAUCUUUAAUGAUGCAGAUUUAUUAUUUGUGCGAAUGCAUUAAUAACAAUUCUAUUAAGCUGAUGCUUCAAAUUUGAAGUUAUU
rnacentral:tRNA from 1 species